rnacentral:rRNA from 1 species
UACGUAGGGGGCAAGCGUUGUCCGGAUUUAUUGGGCGUAAAGCGCGCGCAGGCGGUUCUUUAAGUCUGGUGUCUAAGUGCGGGGCUCAACCCCGUGAUGCACUGGAAACUGGGGAACUUGAGUGCAGAAGAGGAGAGCGGAAUUCCACGUGUAGCGGUGAAAUGCGUAGAGAUGUGGAGGAACACCAGUGGCGAAGGCGAGUCUCUGGACAGCAACUGACGCUGAGGCACGAAGGCCAGGGGAGCAAACGGG